ensembl:lncRNA
CCCCCCCCCUACCCUCCUAAACCGCUCCUGCGCAGCUUCUCGGUUAAAAGGAAAAGUGUCCCUGGGCAGCGAGAGGCAACUUCUCUCCAAAAUAACCAAAAAACAGUGUGCACUCAUAUAUGAAUAACGUUCAAUUUAUCACAUGAAAGCCCAUAUAUUGAAUACAACACCUUGCACUGUCCCCUAUUCCAUCUAUUUCCCAACACUCACGAUGGUAAAGAGAAAUAAAAGCGGAGUUUCAUUCCCAAAGUGACGUUUGUAUUGUAUUCUGCAAAGGAAAUCCAUGCUGUAAACACUGAUUUCUUUGUCUAUAAAUUGUUGUAAACAACAUUACUUAUUUGUAGCUGAGAGCGAGGUUUUUACAUAUCUAGAGCCUUUGUGUAUUUUGCUUAUUUCAAGUUAUGCUUCUAUCGUCGAGCCAUGAAAAUCUACACACUCGUAUUUUUAUUCUCAUUCCAUCCAGUGGUGACAACAAGAAUAAGUGAUCAGGAUGGUAAAACAAACUGAAGACCAAUAAAAAAAACCCCACAAUAACAGCUCAGAACCACAACAAUGGAUCCAAGUCCGUGUCACCCUCCUCCUGUAAAGAGGCUGCUAUUGUAAUGCUAUUGUAAUGCUAAAUAUUUCAUCAGUUGGCUGAGAGAGAAGUUCAGAGGGCCUCGGGAGAGGGUGCUAUCCGCCACGACUACUUGUCAAACCUGCACAUUUUCUGGGCUAUGGCCUCUUUUCUUAACAACCCGCGAGAGGAAGACAAUGAGAGAGAAAUGGCCCUUAUGUAUGAUAUCGAAAUUAUUGGAAGUUUCCUUCCAAUAAGAGGAAACUUCUACCACAAAUUACCAUAUUUUCAAAAUAAACUAUAUAGGAAAAUUAGGAAAAUCUAAAACAUAUGACAUUCAAUUGUGCAUUUUUAUUGCAUCCGUUAUUUCCAAUAAUUAGAGCAUGUGUUAGGCCAAAGACGCAUUGUGUUUUCUAAUCAUUUGUUGAUGGAGUCAUAUGCUGAUGUUCACGCAGUACAUCAGAUGAGGAUGGGAAGGUAAAAGCCACCAUUCACACACCUGACCUGUAGUCCAACACAUGCAAAUAAACUCCUCCACGCCCCAUGCCCACCGUAACCAUGGUGGCGUGUAGUUGAAGAGGAUUGGAGUCUACUAACACAUCCUCGUAGGUCCUCUUUGUUCAAGGCCGACCGAUGCCAUUCGAUCCUCAGCUCGCAUUGACUUGCAUCGAAAGUGGUUCAAAAUGAUCUUUGCAGGCGUUUGAAAUAACCACGGCGAAUUAACGAGUUGAGGAAUAACUCGCUUCACAGCCUCAAAGCCAAUACGGGCUCCUGGGGGAGUGUUCUGAGGUAGCAUUCAUAGGCUUUGAAAUGUUUUCCUCUAGCCAAACGGUGAGCCCUUGUUACAGGGACUUGACAUUGUCACACGUUGUAACAGAGAAACAGCUGCUAUGAGGAUGGGGAAGAUGUUGUGCGUUCCACAAAGCCAGAGUAAUACGCUGCACCAUCCUCCACCUUGAUCAGAACACAUCAGGUUUUUAGCUGCCAGAAAAAAAUGUCAUACUGGUGGAGAAAAUAUACCCUUAACUCUCUUUUUUCAAAAGUUAGUAUCAAGAACUAGCUUAACAGACUGCCAUUUAAUAGACUGCAAUACAUAGAAAUGAGAAAGCCCUGAGCACAACAAGCUCCCACUGUAAGAGGCAGAAACUGUCCACAAUAUUCCCCAGUUAAUUCCAUUCAUAGUGGCUUGAACCAAUGUGCGUAUCUAACAUGACCCGGUACAGAGAGUCCGAACAUCGAGAUCAGCUGGAGGAGAGUCGUGUCUCUUGAACGAAGAUGCUUCAGAGGGCGUCGCAGCAGUAUUUUCUAAAAACUCCCCAUCCAUUUCAAAGGUCCAUGCUCAGCGCAGAGGAUUUUCUGCAUCUCUUCCAAUUCAUUACCCAUUUGCCCACAUGUAUUAUUCUGCUCGCUACGCAUUCCCUCUUGUCUCUGGGGGCAAAUUUAUUGGUUGAAGCAUUUUGACUCCACUUACCUUUUAAAAGCCGCCGUUUAAUGGUUGAUAUUUUCUCUCUCACGUGUGCUCCUCGAUAGCCCGGCAUCCAUGAGUUCCUUCUACUUUGAUGAGCUGGAUACUUUGUUCACUUUGCCAUAACUGGAAGUAUUGCCGAUGAGUUUUGUCUCUAGAUCUUUUAACAUGUGUUUAACAAUAUUGGUCAGUUUAUUAAUGGAUAUACUGUAUGUAUGUAUUGAGAUAUCUAUAGAUCCAUAAUAUAUAUAAUUAUAGCUAUUAUAGUCUAAUUUAAAUGAUGCUUCAAAUGGUGAAGCAGUUUUCUUAUCAAUAUUUUUGCUAUUAUGAUGACCUACAGUAACCAGGAGAAAUAAAAUAUAAUCAUUCAUUAGUUAUUAUAAUAAUUAUAAUAAAGCAAUAUAUAUUCUAAUAUUGACAAAAAAGAGAUUCUGAAUUUGUUCUGGAUGUACAUCCAAUUUAACAGUGUAUGUGAGCCUAAAUGAGUCAGUGGUAUGAUUUUAUACAGGACAUGAAUCUCCUUCUAUCUUCUGUGUGGGGGAGAGAGAGGGGGAACGUUAUGCAUAUUUCAGAUCGAUUUAAGCAGCGUCCUGUGGGUCCUUUAAGAGCUCAUCAUAUUCAUGAGGACGAUAUAUAAUCGUCAUCAGGAGAGUGUUGCAGAACCUCAGAGUUGAGAUGACUUUAAUUCUUGCUGGCAUUUGGUUUGUAUGGUGUUGAAAUUGAAAAAUCAACUAACGUUGGAAAAUGUCUGACGUUUUUUUUUAGGCCAGAGGGAAAACAUCACAAUAGAAGAAAGUUGUACAGUGUUAGUUGGACCACAGAGUCCUGUGUUAGAAAAUUGUCCUAUUAUGGAACCCACAAGCAUUCACAGAUCCAUACACACUCACAAGCAUACACUGCAGAUGGGGAGACAGGCAAAUUGUAAGUGCCCUCACUUACAAUUUGCCACAGCGGUUCAUCGGUAGGACAGAGACAUAAAUCUUGGUGCCCUUAAGACAGCUGUGGGAACCAGAGAGGGAGAAGUUUAAACGGCCCAUACAGCUUUGAUUCACUGUAAUUGUCACAGAACAGUCGAGGACAGCGCUGAAACGUCCCCACAGAGACCACCCCCUUGUCCAAGCUUCAAAUAGAUCUUGAUAUAUGGAAUUAAGUUGCAAUUAGAGGAAAUACAAUUCAUGAAGGCCUGCUGUCAAAAUAACCAAUUAUCUGAACGGUAAAGGAAAUAGUUAUUAUCGUUCCAAUUUUAUAACCUUUAGGGGAUAAACUAUUGAUAAUUCACCUCACCAACUUCUCUUUUUAAUUGUCUGUGCAGCGCAGCGUCCAAAGUAAUGAAACUACACACAUACAAGGCAAGCCAAAAAGAUUAAGCCAGCAUAACAAGGUACCCAGUUGUUUGUCUGCAGUUGAUCUACGCUUGGACAAUAAUAUAACAAUAUCACCAUGAAUUUAAGUGUGACCUGUGAUACGCAGUUAAAUAAUAUUCACUUUUUCAAAGAAAGUUUAGAUAUAAAAACAUUCUGUAAAAGUAAAGUAAAUGCAAAGCAUUCAAAAUCCUGAGGAAAAGUAUUCAAGCUGAAAAUAAGGAAAAUAUUUAGGUGUAAAUCUUAAGAAUAUUAUUAAAAAUACCAAGUCGAGCAUGAAAACAAAACAUUAAGAGUAAUUUUGAUGAGAAAUGAAACAAAUACGAAAUUUUUGACUUCUGAAAAAAAGUCCUCUUCCUCUCAUUUUUCAGUUUUUCUUGACCCGCAGACUCUUCUCUAAAGUUAUACUCCAGCAUUGAUACAAAAGUACUUACUUCAAAUUAUACUAAAAGUACCAAGAGUUAAAGAGCUUUGUAUAAUGAAUAAUGUAUUUCAAAAGAAUGGAUAUCAAAUUACUGAUUAUAAUAUUAGUUUAUUUGACUGAAUUUAAGGGUAGGGAUCAUUUUAAUGCUGCUGGGGAGCUAAAUAGAAAGAUGUGUAAAAAGUUUAGAAAAAUUUAGUGAAGUAGGAGUUUACAGUAAAGUAGGAUUAAAUGGACUUAAUACUCAAGUAAAGUACCAGAACAUCAAUAAGUAUUUCAUACAUAUCUUGCAUAACACUCACAACAUAAUAAAGGCAUCGACAUCAAUACCUCAAUUAACUUUAUCAUUCAUCUUUGGUGUUUGUAACGAGUUCUUUCCUGUGACAUGAUUGACAAGUAGGAAUGGUGGUGCACGCUGCUGUGUUUUUCCAAGCAGGCCCCCCGAUCGCAUCAGUCACACCUGGAGACUGCCUUGGGCUUACCAGCCUGUAAUUUCAUGGCUCAAAAGUACAAUGUCUCAUUCUGUCAACACUCAUUCCUGAUGGAAGCUUGCUCAUUUGCUGCCAUAUCCAGCCUGCACACUGCUACGUUUUGGCAUUGUGAGAGUGUUGCACAAUAUAUUAACGGCAUCAUCAUUUUGCAGGAUUUUUUUGUUGGUGACGGAAAGAGACUAUAAGAAAAUAGAAGAGAGCAGUUUUUUGAGGGAUGAGAUUGAGAUUGAUGGCAACUGUAAAUCACUUUUUGGACAAAUCAGACAUACAAUGAUAUUGGUAGACAAUAUGUUGUCGUUUUAUGGCACUCUAAGUAAUAAAUGCAGCCUCCCUCCUGCUCUAGCUCUCUCCUCGUGUGUUAAAACAAUAAAUGACAACUCACCAGCGAGGACUCUCUAAGUAUACACUGUUUCAUGCAUCAUAAACAAUAUACAUCUUUGUUUUCUCCCCCUUGCGUGACUAUUAAGCUAAAGCGCUUUGCUGUCUGCUCCUUCCUACUAUCUUAUAUCUGAGAAAUAAUUAACAAUAAGAUAUGCCUGCGCUCCUUCAAUCGUUGGGAUAAUGGUUUUCAGAUAAUCAAUAUGCAUAUAGUUGUACAUUUAAAUUAGGAUCAAUACUGUACGCUUUGCUUAAGUUAAACUUUAUGCUAACAAGACAUGUCGUUAGUUAAUUUAAGAGCAGUGUUUAAGUACCCCGAUGACUUUGGUAUAAGGUCCUGAAAGUAGUAAUGCCUAAAGAAUUCAGAUGAGCCAAUGGUGUCAAAUGCAGUUCAUAGUUUAUGACAAUGGAAGGGACUUCAUCGGACAAAUGGGAUCCUUCUGCAACACUGUGUGCUCUUUCGAUUACAUGCGCAUCUAUAUAGAAAAAAAGACAACAACGCUAGUAUUUUAUCACUUGCUCGACAGUGAAACCAACUGUAUUUCUUAAUGACUAUGCACACAUGAGGUUUGGAUAAGUCACGCAUAUGGAAAAACACAGGGCAACCUUCUAAUUGUAUUCAAAGGAUGAGAGCACUUAAAUGUUUCUUAACAUCAUGUUGAACUUAACCAUCCCCGGUCGCCAUGGCGCCAGAGGCAACAGUGACAGGAGUUCAAAGGUUAGGCAAAGUGCAAAGCUUUAUUAUCGGUGGAAAAGCAAUUUUCUAUAAAUCGAUUUCCAACGAUCAUAAGCCCCCGAAGGCUUUGAUGCUUUAUUAUCGUCACAUUAAAACCAAUAUGAGAAGACAAGAAAAGAAGAAAAAAAUAAAUCGAUUAGUAUUAUUCACAGUGAUGUGCUGUGGUGGUGGUUAAAAUAUAAUUUUCAGGAAAAAUGUAUACAACUGUCGUCUAAAUUGUUCACAGACAAUAGAUUGCAAAUUGUAAAUGCAUAUAGUAUUCUUUACAGUGGAAAAUGAUUGAGUUGAAUUUGAAUAGACUAUCUGGGUAAAACAAGCCGUGUAGGUGGGUCCACAGUACGCCUAUGUGUGCACGAAUAGUUGCUCAUUCAUGAAUAUGUGUAUCUUUGAGUGAUACCGCUGCUCCGACAAUGGGGCCCUCCUUAGAUUUGCAGGCUGAUGGCGUGUCACGCUGAAAUAGAUCCCCCUCAGCACUGACACCAGAAGUCAGACAGUUUGAUGGUUCCCCAACUUGGGUCGCUCUCUGUGAUUGACGUUUGGUAGAUUGCCUGCCGACCAAACAUGAGUGUGAGGGAGACACAGCCUAGUCAAUAUCCCCCCGCCUCGUGAUGUGUUUUAAUGUCUGCCGCAUGCAUAGAGAAAAUAGCCAACAAACACACACACACACACACACACACACAAUGGUGUUAUCAAAGUUUACUUUCCGUCUCUGUGAUAUUAGUAUUAGUUUUACGUGAGGAGGCUGUUCUUGAUUGUAAGUAAUGACUGCGUCAUUUACACACAUGUCUAUGUGGACAUGUGUUUCAAAACACUAGCACAUGUAUGGAGUACGCCGUGAUCUGGAGAGGAUGGAUGAAUGCCUGUAGCAUGAAGAAGACAUUUUGGAGUGUAGACAGAUAUAGUGUUUAGUUACCUUUCAAGGACACAGGAGUGAACGGAGAUGGUAAACCAAACAUUCAGAAUAAGAAACCUAAAAUGCACAAUUUAUUAGAGUAAUAUAUGACUGCGCAUAAUACGUGUAUAGAGAGAGAUGCUGUUAAAUGCCGAGAAACAAACUCAACUGAAAAGCGGAAAAAUAAAUGAUGUCCUUCAGUUGGUUGACUACAUUUGUAGAAUAAAGUUAUUUUGUGUCUGAAUAGACUUCAUCUAUUUCACAUCACCUUCUUUGUAAAUUCCUCAACAGUUUUUUUUAAAUAAAGUGUGUUGUUUCCUACACAGGUUGACAACAUCCACACAUUGCUGCUGCUGCGCAGUGUUCUGGAUAUAUGAAUUGAAUAAACACACACAAAGUGCACACAGAGGCCGGUGAACUGAGGCCAUCAUCAAAUCACGCUGAGCAUUGUUACAUUGGAACGGGGGAAGCAGUGGGCCGGAAAGCCCCUGUGUUCGUCUGAGAGAAGGUAAGAGAGGGAACAGUGCUCUGAGAGUGUGUGUGUAUAUGUGUGUGUGUGUGUGUGUGUGUGUGUGUGUGUGUGUGUGUGUGUGUGUGUGUGUGUGUGUGUGUGUGUGUGUGUGUGUGUGUGUGGAGCAAAGUCAGGGGGAAAAGAAAGGACGAGAGAAAUGGAAAAGGGACCAGACGCAGGAGAGUGAGAAAAGAGAGACGGAAAGCCAAAGUGGCGAGAAACUCAAGAAAUGACAAGAAGUCUACAGAGGGACACGGCGGGAGAAAGAGAGAUAGGUGGAGGAAAGAUGGAGAGGAAAGUGAAGUAAAGAGGAGAGGAAAGAGCAGGUGAUGUGACUGAAAAAAAAGAGCGGAGUGGGGGGAUCUGGUGGGGUUACGAAAUGGCAAGAAGGAACCCAGGGGAAGGGAGAGGGAAAAGGGUUGAAAAGGUGGGAGGAGAAGUGUAGAAAGGAGAGGCUAAGGUCACGGGGGAAUAUCUCCUGUUGCCCAUCCAGGCUACUUCUGCAGGUCAGCCAAGAAUUCCUCCUGUUUUACUUUCUAGAUGCACACUCUUCUGCUUGUGUUUUCUAACCUCUCCAUGUUUCCACCAGGAGGAUUAUCCUCCAUCCCUUUAUGGAUGGAGGGGAUUAAGGGUAGAGAAAGGAAAAAACAUAUAAGCGUGUAUAUUUAUUUGAACAUAGAUUGUCAGUCUUUAAGUCACACAAGAGAGAACGAAAGAGGGGAGGGAGACAUAAAGAAAAGGUCAUUCUGUUGGUUGUGACCAGAGGGGAUAUUUUGUGCAAGGAAAUUGCAGUGUAUUGCUUUUGUGACAGAGGAAAUGUAAACUGGCCGUGUGGGUGUGUGACCUCUCGGAGUGCAAGAAGGGGGACUAAAUGGACACAAAACACCCCCUGGGAACGUUCUCAAUUCCUAAUGUAACUAAAACAGUUUUACGGACGUGGUAAUAGCUGAUUGUUUCUUUAUGUGCCCCGCGAGUCGGUCAUUGCUGAGCAUUUCAGAACAUGCGGAUAAUGGUGCAGAGGUGUGAAAGUCAAGUCAAUGACUCAGAUGAAGAGUUCUAUCUAAAUUGUUUUUGUACUAUAAAUAAAAUGUGAAAAAAGGAAAUGGUGGAAUUAAUGAGAUUUGAAAUACCAUUUAACAUUUUAAGUAUUUUGCUAUUAAGUCUUGGUAAAAAAAUAAAUGUAAGUUAGCAGGACAUUGAUAAAUAAAGUGUCACAAUACUUUCCCUAUUUCACCAAUUCUGAUAAAUCAGUUGUCAGCGUGAUAUUGCUGUGUAAGCUUCCCAUGCAUUGGUAAGGAGCUCGGGGGAAACAGUAUAAGAGCUGCCACCUCCUGGCACCUUGACGUAUUGCAACUGCUCUGCUCCAAAUCAGGACAUCAAAUGACCAGAUACUUCAUAGACUGUGCAGCAGAAGGCUGGCAAAGAAACAUUGUCACAUUCAUAAAGUAACCAUGCAAGAAAUGCCACCUGGUGUCAAGCUCACAUUAGUGAAUUUGAAGUGGACGGUGGAUAAAGGCAAGAAACGUCACAUGCAUUAGUAGAUAUUGUAGCAUAACAGAAGGUAAUUCGGAACAGGAUCUGUAUCUUUCAGACUGUCACAGUAUUACAAAGACGGAAUGAAUACAUUUUACAGCAGACACAUAUAGAGAAGAAUAAUGUAUGAAAAACAUGUGGUUAGAUCAUGUCCCUGUUGAGGUAUACAUUGACGGAUGUAAAUGUUACAUUCUGCUGUGCAGCAGCCCAUUAACGCAGAACUAAACAGUCUAUAAUGCAACAUCAAAACCUUAACAGUUGACUGGGCCCAGUCACAACUUAUCAAUGCUGCGACAUUUAAACACGUCUGCACCAUGUGAGUUAAUACCUUUUAAGCAUCCGAAACAUUGCACAUACUUGCACUUACAUAUGCACACACACACACACACACACACACACACACACACACACAGUCAUAUUGUUUUUCUCACAUCCAUUCAACUCACAAGUGGUUCAAAGAUUCAAAGCAGGUGCAUUUUACAGCUUUACAGAAUAAAAACCCAAACAUAGGGAGUGUAACACUAUUGUAUGAAAAGUUAAGCAUGAUGCAAAUGUGUUUGUGUGCUCAGUGCGGUGUCUGACUCUUUUCCGUUACUAUUGAUAAGUUAACCUUUAAGACACCCGACACUGGUCUGUAAUAGGUCGCAUGCUCCCCUCUCACUCCUCUGUCAGAAAAUCAAUUGAGUGAAAGAGAGAAGAGCAAGAUGAAGUUUGAAAAGAAUCUUCCUAUAAUGUCUGACUAAGCGUGUGUGAGUUGCAUGUACUGUAUAUGUUUCGGCAUUCUUUUUAAAAUGGAAUUACAACGUAAAAUGGAUUGAAAUACUGGUAAUAGAUUUAUUUUGCAAACCGUACUGGAGACGUAGUGUGGUGGAAGGCGGACAGUGUUUUGGUGUUGAAUUGAUUUUUUCUUCAAAUAGAAUUAUGUGACUGCUCUUGUUACACAUCCAACGCUUUAAUGUUUCAUUUGUUCAGGAUCAGGUCUCUAAGACACUCCUGAUGUCCCUAAGAUACUGGGAAUUAUGGAGAAGACAUGCACACACACGCACACACACAUGCAGGCAUACAUACACACUCGUCACUCUCAAUCAAUUCCCUGUAUGCUGUUGUCAGUGUAUAAAGAUCGCACAUAUAGACACACAAACUGGUCCAUUGUUGAGCAAAUAGGGUGUGUAUCCCAAAAGUUAUUAGCCCUGAUAUAUUUGGUCAUUAAAAAAAAGCGUUUGCCAUGAACAAAACAUUAAGGUACUUUUUAUUCUUCCACUAUGAAAAUAUCUGUUCUAUAGCUCUUGACUUGACUUGAGUGGACUUUCUACGUGAGAAAUCCAACUUGGCGACAUCAUGAAGGGUAUUUCCCAUAUUUAGUAAUGUAAAUAUUGUCUUUGUCAACUAAUCGUCUAGGCGUGAAUAUAAGAAUGAUGGCAUUAUGUGUAAUUUGGGGCUUGACAUAUUCUGGGCAGUGCAAUUCUGCUUUGAUCUUUGACCGUUAUUUUUUAAACGCUAUUUUUCCUCUUCAAAGCCUCUAAACUCAAUGGUGUAAUAUGAAGUUGUCUGGACUUGAAAGAUAAUUAAACGUUCAUUAUGAAUCACAUCAUUUGAGAAAGAAGAAGGCGAAUCACAGAUAGGACGAGAGAAGGGAAAUGAGUUCUGGCAGAUAUAAACAGGCCAGUGGAAACUUAAACUGCCUGGUUGACAUCUGGUGCCUCUGGUGGGCUCAGAUCAUAAUCAAUAAUGGAACGGGCAAAGAGCACUGUUACUCCCUCUCCUCCGCCUACUGUAUCCCUCUCUUCACUGUCCUUGUUUCUCCUGUCCAGUAAUCCAUUGUUCUCUCAUCUACCGACUUUACCAUCAAUGAGGCUACGUGACCAUUGAGCUGUUACUGCCAUUUACAGCCAACUGAAAACUGUAUGUAAGUUCGAUACGCUUCCAUUUCAAUAUAAAAAAAGCAUUUUCCUCACUUUGGACAUCACCAUCAUAAACUCCACCGAAUGGUCCUUUCUGUUCCUCAAUGUCUUAUAUGUGUGCGGACCACCAACAGCAGCAGAUCAUCCGGUAUCAGGUUGUUCUUCUGAUUACUUGUACACAUUCUUCUCUCCUCAAUAUUCCACAACCCUUUAUUUCUCCUGCUCCACCACCUCCUCUACUCCCUACAUCCACGUCUCCCCUCCUCAGCGAGACCCCCCACAACAGCAGCAGCUUGUCGUCCUAACAUCCCAUUCCUCUCUUCCCCAAUCCCCGGGUCACUCUUUAGGUUUCAAACUCCAUUUUGCUGAUCUAUAGGCUUCUCCUUGGUAAAUUAGUCUGAAGUGGUUUGGACAGUUGUAUACAGCUUGUUGGAGGGCCAGCUGCCACAUGUCCCACUUAUUUAUUCAUCUCUACAUUGAUUAAUGGAGAGAGGGGUCACAGGUCAACCUUUUAUUGUAGAAGAAGCUGACCCGAAAACAAAUAAAUACUCUUUUUCUUGGGAUGUGAUACCCGACUGUGUUGGACCAGAUUGUCAAGAGACGGGAAGUAGUAUCAUCCAUUUCUGUGACAGAUGUCCGAGAAGUACGGUUAGAUAUUGGAUGAAUAGUUUCUUGACAAUGUAUACAAGUCGAUGUGUGUUUUAUUGAAUCAAACCAUGCUCGGCUUUGCACUGAAUGUUUUUUUCCAUUUCUGCUUCAUUCUUUUCUUACUAUGCAAAAUGAACGGUUAAUUCCAAAAAU